UACGGAGGAUCCGAGCGUUAUCCGGAUUUAUUGGGUUUAAAGGGUGCGUAGGCUGGGGAUUAAGUCAGUGGUGAAAGUUUGCGGCUCAACCGUAAAAUUGCCGUUGAUACUGGUUCUCUUGAGUACAUUUGAGGCAGGCGGAAUGUGGUGUGUAGCGGUGAAAUGCAUAGAUAUGCCACAGAACACCGAUUGCGAAGGCAGCUUGCUAAGAUGUCACUGACGCUGAAGCACGAAAGCAUGGGGAUCAAACAGGAUUAGAUACCCUGGUAGUCCAUGCCGUAAACGAUGAUCACUAGCUGUUUGCGAUAUACAGUAAGUAGCAAAGGGAAACCAUUAAGUGAUCCACCUGGGGAGUACGCCCGCAAGGGUGAAACUCAAAGGAAUUGACGGGGGCCCGCACAAGCGGAGGAACAUGUGGUUUAAUUCGAUGAUACGCGAGGAACCUUACCCGGGUUUAAAUGGUGAGUGACAGGGGCAGAGAUGCCUUUUUCUUCGGACACUCAUCAAGGUGCUGCAUGGUU
rnacentral:rRNA from 1 species